GCCUACGGGGGGCAGCAGUGGGGAAUAUUGCCCAAUGGGGGAAACCCUGAUGCAGCGACGCCGCGUGAGCGAGGAAGUAUUUCAGUAUGUAAAGCUCUGUCAGCAGGGAAGAAGAAUGACGGUACCUGAAGAAGAAGCACCGGCUAAAUACGUGCCAGCAGCCGCGGUAAUACGUAUGGUGCAAGCGUUAUCCGGAUUUACUGGGUGUAAAGGGAGCGCAGGCGGUUCUGCAAGCCUGAUGUGAAAGCCCGGGGCUCCACCGCGGGACUGCCUUGGAAACUGCGGGACUGGAGUGUCGGAGGGGG
rnacentral:rRNA from 1 species